rnacentral:rRNA from 1 species
GAGUUUGAUCGUGGCUCAGAUUGAACGCUGGCGGCAGGCCUAACACAUGCAAGUCGAACGGUAACAGGAAACAGCUUGCUGUUUCGCUGACGAGUGGCGGACGGGUGAGUAAUGUCUGGGAAACUGCCUGAUGGAGGGGGAUAACUACUGGAAACGGUAGCUAAUACCGCAUAACGUCGCAAGACCAAAGAGGGGGACCUUCGGGCCUCUUGCCAUCGGAUGUGCCCAGAUGGGAUUAGCUAGUAGGUGGGGUAACGGCUCACCUAGGCGACGAUCCCUAGCUGGUCUGAGAGGAUGACCAGCCACACUGGAACUGAGACACGGUCCAGACUCCUACGGGAGGCAGCAGUGGGAAUAUUGCACAAUGGGCGCAAGCCUGAUGCAGCCAUGCCGCGUGUAUGAAG